UCAGUCAGCCCCUCCUCUUCUGUUUUACAGAGCAAUUGCAUCUAUGCCAUAUACUGGGCACAUUUUUCAUUGGUUUCUGUUUUGAUGAAAAAAAGCAUAAGUCAGAGAAUUUUGCAAGUGAGAAGAGAAAUGCUGCUGUACAAAGGCAGAAUUCAGGAAAAAGUGUGUUACUUUGAGGGCGACUGCAGCCCUGGACCUAGAUGUGAAUGUCCCUUUAACUAUGAGGUCCCCUCUCCAACACACUGCUUUUCACAUUGAACAGAUGGCACAUGAGGAUGUAAAGACACUGUCAGAAGGGCAAAAACUCUUCUCAUGGAGGAUGGAUGAGCUGUAUUCAGCAAGAGAAAGACCAGAGAAACUCCUGCUUUAUCAACCCUCUGCACCCUGAGGUGUGGGAAUAUCCACACCAUGAACCUUCCCCCACCACAUCAGAGAGGGCAGAGUAGCAAUUACAGCACCCUGUUCCAUGGGACCAUCUUUCUCUUUUGCAUUCAAGGUCACCGUAAGUUUCUGAAGAAUGAAGUAUAAAACAAAACUGUUAAAUACUGCAAAUUGCUGUAAAUGCUGUGGAACUUCCAUUUUGUAUUGCUGAAGGCUGCUGGGGAAUGUGUGUAUGGAGGAAGGAGAUACACAUGUGAAAGCUUCAGAAGAAGUGAUAAUCAGUUUUAAAAUGUAGGUUUAGUCUUUAAAGUGAGGCUCUAAGUGGGAAAAUUGUUUUAAUCCUUUUCUGCUUAAGAAAAGGAGUUGAAAAAAAUCACUGAUAAAGUCAAGGUCCCAUCAAUUUUUUCCUUAGAUUAUUUGGGUUUUUUGUUUAGCAACUGGAUCAAAUGGGAUCAUGGAGAACUAGCAUCUUACAAAUACCUUCUUAUAUAUGAUUUUUAAAGGUUCUAGACUUUAAAACAGCAACAAAAAAUCAUUCUGUUACUAUUUGUGUGUAGUGGUUUUGCACAUUUUUUUAGGCAUCUGCCUUAAAAUAUCCAUACGUCAAAAAAGUGAGAUAGUGGUAGUCUUGAUUCUCACAUCACUUUUGUUUUGCUCCUCCCCCUUGUAAAUAAGAAGUGGGGGGAGAGGGGGAAAGAAUUUUUCUGCAAAAACUAAACUCUCAGUGGUGUCAGAACCUUCAGUCUUCUAAUGGAUUUAUGUGCUAAUGUUUAAUUCUAGAAAGGGAUGAGAAUACAUAUUCAGGAUAGUAUUAAAAACACUAAGCAGAAGAAAGUGAAAAAUAUGGCAUCAACAAUUUUCAUAAAUUGAGAUUCUCUUGUACCUAUUCUCCAUUUUCUCAGGCUGGGAGAAGAAAAGCAUUGUCAAUUUUAUCAGAACAUUUAAAUCCUUGAUUUUUUUUUUUCUUCCUGUGAAAACACUUUUUAAUAUUUAUAUAAUGCCCAAGAGAAAGAGCUAGAUGUUAUCGACUUAUGUUAUCUCUAUGGAGGAACGCUCUUAAAGUUCAUAAUUCUUGGAAAGGAAAGAUGAAGAUUCAGGCCCAGAUUUUAGUAAUUUGCAUAGAAGUUUUCAUUUUAAAAGCUUCUUUUCUUAUGAAUUUCUAUUUUCCCACCUUAAGGUAGUGUUCUUUAAUACAAUGAACAGUUUUUUAAACACAAUAUUUUAAGAUGUGUUGUCUGUGAUCUUUCUCAUACACUAUUUCAGAUGUAAUAGAGACAUCAGCUUCCCAUAGGAAACCUGUUUUCCAGUUUUACAUUAUUCAUUUUUUGUUUUCCUAGCAAGAGCAGUUUUUGUGCACAAAAUAUUUCCAUUUUUUCUUUGUUUGUAGCACAUUGUUACUCUUAGCAUUUCACUUAACAGUUACUCCAUUCUUUCAUGUCUACAGGGACUGAGUAGUGUUUAGAGACCUGCCUGAAUAAAGAAACCAGUUGGUACACAGAUGAAAAAUCUGUGCUAAUCCUGUAGUUUCUUAAAUAUAUUCUUUUAUUUGAGAUAUAUUUUUAUUACUAUAUUAGUAUCCAAAGAAGAGCUGUUCACUCUGAAAGGCCAUGUUCUGUUUUUUUUUCAUUUUUCACACUUUUCAUUGGCAGCAUUCUAUCAUUAAACAGUCUGUGCAGUGACAUCCCUUCUUUCUGUUGAAAUUGUUGUACUUGCUUUAAUAUGAAUAACACUCAGGUUGCCUUCCUAAGACCUCCAACUCUUCAAUUAGACCUUAUAUCUUAUUUCCCUGGCCUAGAAAUAUUUUUGCUGACCUAGAAAUCAAUUUUCCUACUAAGACCUCAUUAAUAUAUUUUUUUCUUCUGGCUUUUUUGGUUUGUUUUUUUCUUUUUCUGUAUUUGCCAGUUAUGUAUCAUCGAGAUGUAGGAUGGGCAGCAGACCUCCCUCAGACUAACAUGAUUUCUCAGAACACCUUCAAUACUGAAUGAUUGCAUCAUUACCCACAGAAGCAUAUCACUGCACAAAAAUGAUAAAACAGCAAUGAUGAAAAUACACAUCCCAUUGAAAAUUGGGAUGGAGAGGAAACAGUAUAACAGUAAAGCAAUAAAUCUAUUGACACUUUACAUGAGUGGGGAAUAAGAGAGACGUCACCACGACACUAAAAAGAGUGCAUUAGGCCAUUCAGUUUGGAUGGAGAAUAAGUUAGCUUUUAUUUGCUCAUUAUGUUAAUAAAAAUUCCAGUUUAUAUACCUUAA